CAGGGAGACAACACAAUGAUUUUGAUGCCUGAGUGCUUUUAUUCUUAGGCCGAAAUCCUGUCACCUUAGGUCGAUCGGUACCUCAGCUUUGAAGUCAAGGAUCAGCAGCAAUGUUGAUUGCUUGAUGGAGAUUUUCAGUUCCUAAACUUUGUCUAGGUCACACCCCAAAAGGGAUGAGACUCCUGGGCCAUUAGCUCAGGUGGUUAGAGCGCACCCCUGAUAAGGGUGAGGUCCCUGGUUCAAGUCCAGGAUGGCCCAUUCGGUGUUGGGGGUUUAGCUCAGUUGGUAGAGCGCCUGCUUUGCAAGCAGGAUGUCAGGAGUUCGAGUCUCCUAACCUCCACUGACCGAACUUGAUUCCCAUCUCCAAUUUUUUGGAGUUGAGCUCGAUUGGAGUGUGAUUUAGAUGUGUCCGCUGGAUGACCCCAGCUUCCUGUCAUUCUAAGUUUUAGGUUGAUGCCUUGAAUUUGGUUGAUAAGAUGCUGGGCUCGGAUCAAAUGAUCAAGCAAUUGAUGAUUUGAUUUGAAGUUCUAGCAGAACCUUGACAACUGCAUAGGUGAGUCUGGAAAAAACAAAGCAUCUCAUGGAUGCAUUGUUUUGAGUUCAUGUUCUUGUAAAAGGACUUGAAUCCAGAGCAAUGAAUAAUUCUUUUGAGUAAGAGCCGAGGCUUUUAAAUGUUCUCUUGUUCGUGUUUAUCGAAUCAGAGUUUGAUCUUGUUUUUACAUUAAAAACUUGAGAACCUGCUUUCAACGGUAGUAAGCAUUUAAAGGAUCAAUU
rnacentral:tRNA from 1 species